CUUGGUGGAUCAGUGGCGAACGGGUGAGUAACACGUGAGCAACCUGCCCUGGACUCUGGGAUAAGCGCUGGAAACGGCGUCUAAUACUGGAUAUGAGCCCCUAUCGCAUGGUGGGGGUUGGAAAGAUUUUUUGGUCUGGGAUGGGCUCGCGGCCUAUCAGCUUGUUGGUGAGGUAAUGGCUCACCAAGGCGUCAACGGGUAGCCGGCCUGAGAGGGUGACCGGCCACACUGGGACUGAGACACGGCCCACACUCCUACGGGAGGCAGCAGUGGGGAAUAUUGCACAAUGGGCGAAAGCCUGAU
rnacentral:rRNA from 1 species